rnacentral:rRNA from 1 species
AUUGAACGCUGGCGGCAUGCCUUACACAUGCAAGUCGAACGGUAACAGGUCUUCGGAUGCUGACGAGUGGCGAACGGGUGAGUAAUACAUCGGAACGUGCCUAGUAGUGGGGGAUAACUACUCGAAAGAGUGGCUAAUACCGCAUGAGAUCUACGGAUGAAAGCAGGGGAUCGCAAGACCUUGUGCUACUAGAGCGGCCGAUGGCAGAUUAGGUAGUUGGUGGGAUAAAAGCUUACCAAGCCGACGAUCUGUAGCUGGUCUGAGGGGACGAUCAGCCACAAUGGGACUGAGACACGGCCCAGACUCCUACGGGAGGCAGCAGUGGGGAAUUUUGGACAAUGGGCGAAAGCCUGAUCCAGCAAUGCCGCGUGCAGGAUGAAGGCCUUCGGGUCGUAAACUGCUUUUGUACGGAACGAAAAGCCCCGGGUUAAUACCCUGGGGUCAUGACGGUACCGUAAGAAUAAGCACCGGCUAACUACGUGCCAGCCGCCGCCGUAA